GACAAAUAAGAUAUGUUUUUUAAUUUGGGACUUUAGGUGUAUGGAACUCAUUCCUUCAUGAACAGCCACUUCUAGAGAUCCGCACUGUCCUUGCUGGGAACCUCCACAGGCAAAAUGGAUCCCAUUACAAGAUCUGAACAGAACAGAUGAAUGAUCUUAGCAACAGUAAAGGGAAAAAUGUUCUUGAAAAGACUUCACCUGGCUCCUGUACUCUGUCCAUCUCAAAGCUAACAGAUACCUCGUAUGAAGACAUGGAGAAAAAGGAAAGAGUUUCUGAACGCAGCAUUUGAAAUUAUCUCUUGUCCACAACAGAAUCAUUGAAGUGUUUUCCAUAUAGUAUAACAGAAGUACUGAAGACAGAAAUAUAUAAGAUCAAGGAAUAACGCAAGCUCCAGCAAGCCACAGUGAAAGACAUUAUUGAAAUAAAGUUCAGUUGCAAGAAAGUAUUGGAUUAUCUUGGCCCGUCCUGUUUAAAAGCUAGAUCCAGGGCCCUAGGGACUUUGCAAAACCAAGCUCACCAAGGUGAGUUUAGUUCUGUGUUUUUUUCUGAACUGAUCUUGACUGGUUAUUAGGACAACACAUUUUUUGUACUUUGAAAUGUUUAGAACUUUUUAGAAAUGUUUGGAAAUGUAUGAUUUUUAACUGUAAGAUUUUUACUGUCUUUACGACCCUAAAAGGUCACAUCUAUUAUAUCCUGCAGUCAAAGCAGCCCUGCAGGGAAUCUUAUCUCUGACAUAUGCCAAAUUAUGCAGAAUCUCAUCCAUCUAAUUACAUAUCAUAUAUAGUGACUUUUAAAGAGUAUUCUUAGGCCCCGAGACUGCUACUAACCUUUAAAAAGUGCUCAAUCCAUUUGUUGUGCCA